AUUGAACGCUGGCGGCAGGCCUAACACAUGCAAGUCGAACGAGUGGCGGACGGGUGAGUAAUGUCUGGGAAACUGCCCGAUGGAGGGGGAUAACUACUGGAAACGGUAGCUAAUACCGCAUACCAUCGGAUGUGCCCAGAUGGGAUUAGCUAGUAGGUGGGGUAACGGCUCACCUAGGCGACGAUCCCUAGCUGGUCUGAGAGGAUGACCAGCAACACGGGAACUGAGACAAGGCCCAGACUCCUACGGGAGGAAGCAGUGGGGAAUAUUUCACAAUGGGCGCAAGCCUGAUGCAGCCAGGCCGCGUGUAUGAAGAAGGCCUUAGGGUUGUAAAGUACUUUCAGCGAGGAGGCGGUACUCGCAGAAGAAGCACCGGCUAACUCCGUGCCAGCAGCCGCGGUAAUAC
rnacentral:rRNA from 1 species